CAACACUCACACAAUCAUUGGCCACUAAUUGCGGAAGAAAAUCAAUGCAUAUAAACCAAUCAAAUUAUCCAAACGAGUCUUUAUAUUAAAUUCAUGAAAUAUGGAAUUAAAAUAGCAAACAAUGAUUCAUCGAUCACCUAGUGAAUUGAAAACCUAGCCUAGAAUAUUCAUAAUUACAGAAAAAACGAAAUUAAUAAAUAGAAAGAAUAGCACCCGUAUGAAAAUUUCUUGAAAUCUUGAAUAAAGCCUUGAAAACCUACUUAAAUUCUUGUGAAAUCGGCUUCAUGUUCGUGUUCCUUGCCUCCAAAAGUUAUAUUUUUCUUCUCCCUGGACGUUCUACCCUAUUUUUGAUGAAUUUUGGCUUUUAUAUCAUGUCCUCACGGAGCCCCGAAAGAGUUUCAAUUAAAAAUGGAAGUUCAGAAUUUUCUUCGAAUUUUAAAGUCAUGCAGCCGCAUGGUUCAAGUGAUUUGCUUCACUAAAAUCCCUGCAUCCUCAUGUGCGGCCGCAUGGUUGUAGCUUUACAACCUUGCUGUUUUGAUCCCUGAACUCCGUUUUCUCUUUUUUUUAAUCUCUUUUCUUUCUUUCCUUUGUUCCAUUAUCAAAUAUUGACUCCUAAUUAAUAUUUGGGUCAAUCAAUUCCUUGAUCACUUGCUCGGCUCAUCUUUUGAUUAAUUGCAAUUUAGUCCUUCAUCUUUCACUUUUCUUCAAUUCAGUCCAAUGUUACUUCUUUCUUCCUUCGAUCAUCUUGUAUCGUCCUCAAUCUCAUACUUGGCAUAUUUUCAUUCAAGUUCUGCACUUUAGCUCAACUUUUCAAUAUUUGCACCUUUGGUCCCCGAACUAUCGCUUUGUUCCGUUUUGGUCCUUUUUCGGCUCUUUUCUUCUGAAUUUCAUCUUUUCCAUAGAAACACCUACAUUGCAUGAAUUUAACGAGAUUAAGUCACAAUUCAACUACUUUGUCCAUAUUUAAGUCAUGUUUGUGAGACAAAUAAGUGUGUAAAAACACAUUUAUCAGAUGCUACUAAUGAAAACUUUAACAUUUUAAAAUGGUGGAAGAUCAACAAUUCAAGGUUUGAAUUUUUAUCUAAAGUUGCAAGGAUGUUCUUGCCAUUCUUGUAUCUACGGUGGCUUCUGAGUCAGCAUUUAGUACCGG
rnacentral:lncRNA from 1 species